rnacentral:piRNA from 1 species
UGUCAGUGAGGUGUCAUGUGCACUGG